UAGGGAAUCUUCGGCAAUGGACGAAAGUCUGACCGAGCAACGCCGCGUGAGUGAAGAAGGUUUUCGGAUCGUAAAACUCUGUUGUUAGAGAAGAACAAGGACGUUAGUAACUGAACGUCCCCUGACGGUAUCUAACCAGAAAGCCACGGCUAACUACGUGCCAGCAGCCGCGGUAAUACGUAGGUGGCAAGCGUUGUCCGGAUUUAUUGGGCGUAAAGCGAGCGCAGGCGGUUUCUUAAGUCUGAUGUGAAAGCCCCCGGCUCAACCGGGGAGGGUAAUUGGAAACUGGGAGAAUUGAGUGCAGAAGAGGAGAGUGGAAUUCCAUGUGUAGCGGUGAAAUGCGUAGAUAUAUGGAGGAACACCAGUGGCGAAGGCGGCUCUCUGGUCUGUAACUGACGCUGAGGCUCGAAAGCGUGGGGAGCAAACAGG
rnacentral:rRNA from 1 species